GCAGCGGUCAAGUUGUACCAACACAGAGAAAGGAGGAGGAACCUCUGGUCGGCCCUUGAGAACAUUUUAGCUGGGGUUCUGGAAUGGAAUGUGGCACAGAAAGGCCAAACCAGACCAGUAAAUUCUUUGAAAGGGUGAAAAGCAAGGAUUGUGGAUUUCUGGAAGAUGGAUGCUGUUGGAUUUCCAGAAGAUGGAUGCUGUUGACUUUCAGGGCAAUCCUUUGUCACUCAGGAUUCUGGAUGCCCUUUUGAAAGAUUCCAAGAGAACCUUCGUUUCUCACUGUCCCUGCUACUGAUAGCCACCUGACCUGCCGGGCUGUCUCUGCUGCUUGUCUCAUUCACAGAUGGAGAAGAGUUCCUGCUACUCUUGAUGAUGCCUUUUGGGAGUCCUCCAUUUGACCUCCCUGAGUGAGAACUGAUGGGGACACUGCUGUUGAUGAAGCUGCUGAUUCAAGAGUCUUCAAAGGCCACUGUCUCACAUCAUUGUAGGCUUAAGAGAGAGAGAGAGGGAGAGCGAGCGAGCACAGGCAGACAGAAUGGCAGGCAGAGGCAGAGGAAGAAGCUGGCUCCCAGCCCAGCAAGGAGCACGAUGUGGGACUCGAUCCCAGGAUGCUGGGAUCAUGACCUGAGCCGAAGGCAGCUGCCUAACCAACUGAGCCACCCAGGUGUCCCAGCUUUGUCUCCAUUCAAAGCUGCCUUUGUAAUUUUCUGCCAGCAAGUGAAGGAAAAAGGGUAUUUUUUGCCACAACAUUUGUCUCCAUUUCAGCAAUGAAAACAUGAAUGUUCUAAAGGCACUGACAGCGCAGCUCCAACCUGAGGACGUGAUUUUUCUCACAACUAGUCUUUCAUCAGGAAAAGAUGAAACACUGUUGGGAUUUUAUACUAAAUUCCAAUAAACUGUAGCAUCAUUGAAUGAAAAGAAGCAAAAGAUAAUGUGAAAAAUAGAAGAGAGCAUCCUUAAACAUUGAAGCCUGUACUUAUGACAGAACAAGGCCUCGAUUCUUUAAUCCGAGAUCCAGUGGUGCUGGCUGGGAAUGAAAUGAGAAUUAUUAGUAAGACACGAAGCCCACGUGCAGCUUCCCUUCACCACAAGUCCCUUAACUUAGCAUUUUAUAUUCUCAAACGCUCGUGUUCUUCCCUGGAAAAGCAAAUACAUGUACAUUUUUAAGUGGUUUCUCUACAAUUAUAAAGCCAUUUGAGUAACGGAACAGUAUUUUAAUUGAGGAUGUUUAGAUGUCCUUCAGCAAAGAUUAAAAAAGGACUCAUGGACAUUAAAAGCAGUAGCUUUUAAGCAUGAGUAUUUUUGCAAUUUUCUGAGAGUUUCUUUUAAAAAUUUUUACAAGAAUAAUAUAGUUCUUGGCUUAAAAAUAGUUUACAGGGAAGGAUCAUUUUGUAGGAAUGUUCUAGGCUGGA
rnacentral:lncRNA from 1 species